GAAAAAUCGGAGGACCUUUAAAGAAAAUAGCCAUAGAAGCUUGAAACACUUCAAAUAUGUAGAGAUUCGAACAACAAGUAACAACGAAAGCAUAAAUCCUUUCGCAAUUGCUAAAAAUCGGUCAACAAUAUAGAAUUAAGAGAAUAUUAAAGAAAAUAUCAGUGAUGAGCUCAGAAGCAUUCCAAAUCGACAAAGAUCUUGAUAGAUUCAACUCUAAACACUAAGGUUUCAAAGAAAAAGGAAAGGGUAAAGAGAAUCUGGCUUUGAACCAAAGAUUCACACCACAGAACAUCGAUAGAAACACACUCAGAGACCAUAGGCAGACUCUCAGGGAGACUUGGACAAGAUCUGGACUAGAUUUCUUCGAGACCUUUCCAUGAGAUCGCAAGAACGAGCAACCAAGAGAUGUAAGAGGCAAGUAGAAGUCUUAAACAUCCAUGGAAAUCCAUGGAUCGAAUAGGAAUCAAAGAGAUUAGGGCUAAUUUUGAGUGGCGGUGGCUAGGGUUAGGAUUAGGUCUCUGAGAGACAGAGAGGAUUAGGGAUUCUAGGGCAG
rnacentral:lncRNA from 1 species